GACGGAGGAUGCAAGUGUUAUCCGGAAUCACUGGGCGUAAAGCGUCUGUAGGUGGUUUAAUAAGUCAACUGUUAAAUCUUGAGGCUCAACCUCAAAAUCGCAGUCGAAACUGUUAGGCUAGAGUAUAGUAGGGGUAAAGGGAAUUUCCAGUGGAGCGGUGAAAUGCGUAGAGAUUGGAAAGAACACCGAUGGCGAAGGCACUUUACUGGGCUAUUACUAACACUCAGAGACGAAAGCUAGGGUAAGCAAAUGGG
rnacentral:rRNA from 1 species